UGGGGAAUUUUGGACAAUGGGCGCAAGCCUGAUCCAGCCAUUCCGCGUGAGUGAAGAAGGCCUUCGGGUUGUAAAGCUCUUUCGCAAGGGAAGAAAACUUAGCCACUAACAUUGGCUGAGGUUGACGGUACCUUGAUAAGAAGCACCGGCUAACUACGUGCCAGCAGCCGCGGUAAUACGUAGGGUGCGAGCGUUAAUCGGAAUUACUGGGCGUAAAGCGUGCGCAGGCGGCCUUAAAAGUCAGAUGUGAAAUCCCCGAGCUCAACUUGGGAACUGCGUUUGAAACUCUAAGGCUAGAAUAUGUCAGAGGGGGGUAGAAUUCCACGUGUAGCAGUGAAAUGCGUAGAGAUGUGGAGGAAUACCAAUGGCGAAGGCAGCCCCCUGGGAUAAUAUUGACGCUCAUGCACGAAAGCGUGGGGAGCAAACAGG
rnacentral:rRNA from 1 species